CACGUAGGGCGCGAGCGUUGUCCGGAAUUAUUGGGCGUAAAGAGCUCGUAGGCGGCCUGUUGCGUCCGCUGUGAAAGCCCGGGGCUUAACCCCGGGUCUGCAGUGGAUACGGGCAGGCUAGAGGUAGGUAGGGGAGAAUGGAAUUCCCGGUGUAGCGGUGAAAUGCGCAGAUAUCGGGAGGAACACCGGUGGCGAAGGCGGGUCUCUGGGCCGUAACUGACGCUGAGGAGCGAAAGCAUGGGGAGCGAACAGG
rnacentral:rRNA from 1 species